CUUUAGUCCCCCGUAGACAGGGUUUAAACACUGUGAUCUUUAGUCCCUGUAGACAGGGUUUAAACACUGUGAUCUUUAUUCUCAAACAGUCGUGAAAUAACGCUGCAUUUGAAUCAUCACAGAGACUUCAGAUUGUCAGAGAGGCGUAAUUAAGAGUACGUAACUAGGGUAUUGGAGUCAUUAAGGGUACGUAACUAGGGUAUUGGAGUAAUUAAGGGUACGUAACUAGGGUAUUGGAGUAGUUAAGGGAACGUAACUAGGGUAUUGGAGUAAUUAAGGGUACAUAACUAGGGUAUUGAAGGUAUUGGAGUAAUUAAGGGUACGUAACUAGGGUAUUGGAGUAGUUAAGGGAACGUAACUAGGGUAUUGGAGUAAUUAAGGGUACAUAACUAGGGUAUUGAAGUCAUUGGAGUCAUUAAGGGUACGUAACUUGGGUAUUGGAGUAAUUAAGGGUACAUAACUAGGGUAUUGGAGUCAUUGGAGUCAUUAAGGGUACGUAACUAGGGUACGUAACUAGGGUAUUGGAGUCAUUAAGGGUACAUAACUAGGGUAUUGGAGUAAUUAAGGGUACAUAACUAGGGUAUUGGAGUCAUUAAGGGGUACGUAACUAGGGUAUUGGAGUCAUUAAGGGUACGUAACUAGGGUACGUAACUAGGGUAUUGGAGUCAUUAAGGGCACGUAACCAGGGUACGUAACUAGGGUAUUAGAGUCAUUAAGGGUAUGUAACUAGAGUAUUGGAGUCAUUAAGGGUACGUAACUAGGGUAUUGGAGUCAUUAAGAGUACGUAACUAGGGUAUUGGAG
ensembl:lncRNA